GACGAACGCUGGCGGCGUGCCUAAUACAUGCAAGUUGAGCGCUGAAGGUUGGUACUUGUACCGACUGGAUGAGCAGCGCACGGGUGAGUAACGCGUGGGGAAUCUGCCUUUGAGCGGGGGACAACAUUUGGAAACGAAUGCUAAUACCGCAUAAAAACUUUAAACACAAGUUUUAAGUUUGAAAGAUGCAAUUGCAUCACUCAAAGAUGAUCCCGCGUUGUAUUAGCUAGUUGGUGAGGUAAAGGCUCACCAAGGCGAUGAUACAUAGCCGACCUGAGAGGGUGAUCGGCCACAUUGGGACUGAGACACGGCCCAAACUCCUACGGGAGGCAGCAGUAGGGAAUCUUCGGCAAUGGACGAAAGUCUGACCGAGCAACGCCGCGUGAGUGAAGAAGGUUUUCGGAUCGUAAAACUCUGUUGGUAGAGAAGAACGUUGGUGAGAGUGGAAAGCUCAUCAAGUGACGGUAACUACACAGAAAGGGACGGCUAACUACGUG
rnacentral:rRNA from 1 species